rnacentral:rRNA from 1 species
CCUACGGGAGGCAGCAGUGAGGAAUAUUGGUCAAUGGACGAGAGUCUGAACCAGCCAAGUAGCGUGAAGGAUGACUGCCCUAUGGGUUGUAAACUUCUUUUAUAUGGGAAUAAAAUGUUCCACGUGUGGGAUUUUGUAUGUACCCUAUGAAUAAGGAUCGGCUAACUCCGUGCCAGCAGCCGCGGUAAUACGGAGGAUCCGAGCGUUAUCCGGAUUUAUUGGGUUUAAAGGGAGCGUAGGUGGAUUGUUAAGUCAGUUGUGAAAGUUUGCGGCUCAACCGUAAAAUUGCAGUUGAAACUGGCAGUCUUGAGUGCAGUAGAGGUGGGCGGAAGUCGUGGUGUAGCGGUGAAAUGCUUAGAUAUCACGAAGAACUCCGAUUGCGAAGGCAGUUCACUGGACUGCAACUGACACUGAGGCUCGAAAGUGUGGGUAUCAAACAGGAUUAGAUACCCGGGUAGUC